CUAGCAGCGGACAAGGUGAGGAAGGUGGAUAUGCUUGAAGAAGUCACUGUUAUCUGGUCUGAGAAGGUUAAGGACGAAUUGGUGUUGGAUGGCAAUGACAUUGAGCUUGUUUCCCGAUCUGCUGCCCUGAUAAACCAAAAAUGCCAUGUGAA